rfam:Nocardioides sp. Root79 contig_12, whole genome shotgun sequence.
CCCGCCGUGGUCCAACGGACACGACGCGACGCUACGAACGUCGAGACGGAGGUUCGACUCCUCCCGGUGGGA